CCUACGGGAGGCAGCAGUGAGGAAUAUUGGUCAAUGGACGAGAGUCUGAACCAGCCAAGUAGCGUGAAGGAUGACUGCCCUAUGGGUUGUAAACUUCUUUUAUAUGGGAAUAAAAUGUUCCACGUGUGGGAUUUUGUAUGUACCAUAUGAAUAAGGAUCGGCUAACUCCGUGCCAGCAGCCGCGGUAAUACGGAGGAUCCGAGCGUUAUCCGGAUUUAUUGGGUUUAAAGGGAGCGUAGGUGGAUUGUUAAGUCAGUUGUGAAAGUUUGCGGCUCAACCGUAAAAUUGCAGUUGAAACUGGCAGUCUUGAGUACAGUAGAGGUGGGCGGAAUUCGUGGUGUAGCGGUGAAAUGCUUAGAUAUCACGAAGAACUCCGAUUGCGAAGGCAGUUCACUGGACUGCAACUGACACUGAGGCUCGAAAGUGUGGGUAUCAAACAGGAUUAGAUACACGAGUAGUC
rnacentral:rRNA from 1 species